rnacentral:rRNA from 1 species
UACGGAGGAUGCAAGCGUUAUCCGGAAUGAUUGGGCGUAAAGCGUCCGCAGGUGGCUAUGUAAGUCUGCUGUUAAAGAGUGAGGCUCAACCUCAUAAGAGCAGUGGAAACUACAUGGCUAGAGUGCGUUCGGGGCAGAGGGAAUCCUGGUGUAGCGGUGAAAUGCGUAGAUAUCAGGAGGAACACCGGGUGGCGAAGGCGGGUCUCUGGGCCGA